GACGAACCGCCCGAACGUUGUUCGGAAUCACUGGGCUUAAAGGGAGCGUAGGCGGCGCAACAAGUCACUUGUGAAAUCUCCGGGCUUAACCCGGAGCGGUCAAGUGAUACUGUCGUGCUAGAGUGCGGAAGGGGCUACUGGAAUUCUCGGUGUAGCGGUGAAAUGCGUAGAUAUCGAGAGGAACACCUGCGGCGAAGGCGGGUAGCUGGGCCGACACUGACGCUGAUGCGCGAAAGCCAGGGGAGCGAAUGGG
rnacentral:rRNA from 1 species